AUUGAACGCUGGCGGCAUGCCUUACACAUGCAAGUCGAACGGUAACGCGGGGCAACCUGGCGACGAGUGGCGAACGGGUGAGUAAUGCAUCGGAACGUGCCCAGUAGUGGGGGAUAGCCCGGCGAAAGCCGGAUUAAUACCGCAUACGACCUAUGGGUGAAAGCGGGGGACCGAAAGGCCUCGCGCUAUUGGAGCGGCCGAUGUCAGAUUAGGUUGUUGGUGGGGUAAAGGCCUACCAAGCCGACGAUCUGUAGCUGGUCUGAGAGGACGACCAGCCACACUGGGACUGAGACACGGCCCAGACUCCUACGGGAGGCAGCGGUGGGGAAUUUUGGACAAUGGGCGCAAGCCUGAUCCAGCCAUGCCGCGUGCGGGAAGAAGGCCUUCGGGUUGUAAACCGCUUUUGUCAGGGAAGAAACGCGCUGGGUUAAUACCUCGGCGUAAUGACGGUACCUGAAGAAUAAGCACCGGCUAACUACGUGCCAGCAGCCGCGGUAAAAC
rnacentral:rRNA from 1 species